UUACACUUUUUCGAUGACUUGACCUGUGACCGUGGCAGUAUGCAGUCAUCUUAUUUUGACCAGCUGCCUACCAGGAUGACUGCCAGGUCACCAAUGCGAGCGAUGCAUGACCUGCCCUUGACCUUUCCAGACUCCGAUAGUGGAUUUGGUUCGUUCAAAACGAGGAGUCGUCUAUUCAACUCAGAUGACUUCAGCAUGUCGGUUCCUUCUCGACUCACAAGGUCAAGGUCACUCACAAGACUGAAUGGGUCGGUCGAUGAAGAGUUGUCUCCCCCUAGUUCUCCUGUGAUGUUCAUUCCACCCGAAAAGUCUGUACGACAUCUUCGUGUUACGCUGGAUGAGAGUGAAAACCGACGAUCAGUGUUGAUGAACAAGUUAAAAGAAGCGCAGGAAACCCUCACGUUACAAAAUGAAAGACUGUCAAAGAUAGAGACGGCAGCAAAAGACAACAGUUUUCUGGUGGAGGACCUCAAGUUCAAGGAGCGAGAUUACAGAAAGAAGAUAGCCGUGUUGCAGAGGGCAGAGCAGGAGAAGGAAGGUCUGAGGAUGGAAAACAUUCGACUGCGGGAAGAAAUGCAAGACAGAAUUAAUACACUGGACUUCCAGCUGAGGUCACUACAGAGCCAGCACCAGUCUACGGAGGUCGAGAAUGAGAAGAGAAGCAGUCUCCUGGACCAGACGACCUCGACCUUGUCAUUACUGGAGAUGGAAAACACAAAACUGCAGAAGGAGCGAGACCUGGCACAGGAUGAGAUUAAUGUCAUUAAGGAAGCUCUACAACUUACCAAGUCUCGCUUCGGUUGCAUUGACGAGGAGAACAAGAACUUGAAAAAUGAAUAUAAUACAAUGAAAAUGGAGAACACGACCCUGAGUCGGAAGGUGCACGAGAUGGCCGGGCAGAUGGUGGAGCUGAGGACUCUGUUACAGGCAGUGCGUGAUGAGAACGAGCGACUCUGUGGCAACUGGAAACACAUCUCUGAGGACAAACAGAGGAGCUCACGGCAGAUUGAAAACUACCAGGACACGAUAGCGGAUCUCAAGUCGAAGUUAGCAACCACUAGUGCAGACAAGGACAGAUUGUUUCAGGACAGAUUCGACCUCAAUCAGAAACUACAGCAGCUCGUUCUCGACAAGGAACAGCUUAUUAAAAGCAAACUGUCACUGGAGGAGCAGUUGAAUAACCUGGAGAGGACCGUGCAGCAUUCGAAGAUGUCAAGGUCAAAUCAUAACGAAGAACUGAAUGACAUGGAAGAUGAGUUGAAUUCAGUUAAAAAGGUCUGUGAGGAGUUAUCCUGUGAGUUGUCGUCUGUAAAGGAGUACUACGAACGUGCGCUGGAGCGUAUCAGCUCCCUGGAGAACAGCAGCAAACUGCUGGAACAACAACAGAACAUCACCGACCAGGAGAAGAAGAGACUGCAGGCAGAGAUCGACAGACUCGAAAGGUUGCUAUGCAGUCGUAAUGAAGAUGACCGAAGAGAAAGGGAACAUUUGGAAGAGAGUCUGAGCAAAGUGAAGUCUGAAUUGAAAGAUUUGCGACAUGAGAAGUCACAACUUUUGGACAGAAAUCAUGAACUUGAAAUUAAACUGCGCAAAGCCAAUGAGGAGUUGCGAGACAUAGCCAGCAGACAGCAGGAUGAAAUGGAGACUUGGAAAAAUACCUGUGAACGAUUGACAUCUUCUGUUAGCUGGAAGGAAGCAGAGUUACAGAAUCUGACAGACCGAACAUGUGAGAUGGAAUCCACUAUUAGCAAACAGCGAGAAGAGUUAAGAAAUAGCCGUGAGAAGUAUGAAAUACUGGCUGAAAAACAGGAGGAUGUUGAAAGGUAUAGAGAUGAGACUCGUCGUCUGCUUCAGGAGAAGGCUGAGAACGAACAGAUGAUUAAGCUUUUAGAGACACAGAAAGAAGUGCUUACGAAAAGUAUGGAGAGUAGCCUGAACAAACUCCAUGAUGUGGAACACCUUGGUGGUAAAGUGGACCAGCUCCGCAGUGAAAAUGAACUUCUCAGAGACCGUAUUCAGGAACUGGAGGAGGUCCGAGACAAUCUUAUCAGACAGAAGGAGGAGAUGCUGAUCGACAGUGACUUGAUUUACAAACAGCCGAACUUAGAUGACGUAGCACAGAAGAUUGACGAACUGCGAGAUGCCAACAAACAGCUGAGAGAUAUCAAUAACAUCAUGUCAGAGAAACUUGAAGUUGUAGAACAGGAGAAUUUCCGUCUGAAAAAUGCUAUGGGUGAAAAUGUUCCCUCUCACAUAGAAGAGGAAAUAGAAAGGAUGAGGAGAGAAAACGAGCAGCUGCGAUCAGACUACGAUAGCCUAAAGGAAGAACACGACAAGCUGGAAUCCCGACAUCAGCAGUUUAUCAUCCAGUACGGCCAUCAGGAUGAGCAGCAGAGAGACACAGAGGAAUUACACAAGGUACAACAGGAACGAGAUGCUCUGCAGAAACAAGUUCAGCUCAUUAACGGCCAGUUGAUUCUGGUUGAGGGCAGCAAGAAACGCCUUGAAGAGACUGUGGAGGACCUUCAAAAACAAGUUCACCAACUCACAGGGCAGAUACAGGAGGCUGAUAUUAGCAGGUGUAGACAGGCAGAGGCCGAAGUUGAGCAACUCAGGAAAGAGGUGGAUCAACUUCAGCAGCAGUUAGCAGAUGCCGAGAGUGGGAAGGCAGAGCAAGAUGCACUGCUGGACAGUUUAAAAGAGAAAUCACUGGAUGAUGUUGGAGAAGAACUUCACAAAAUGCGAGGAGAACUUCACGAUCUGAUGGGAGAGAUUGAGUCCAAAGAUCAGUCAAUUAUGUCCCUUGAAAAUGAACUUCAGAAGUCUACGGAGGAAUGCCAGUUUAAAGAGAAAAGAGUCCAUGAUAUGAAGAAUCUCAUAGAUGACCUUGAGAGACAUAAUGAAAGUUUGAAGAAAGAUUUAGAGCAGACAAGACUCUCAAAAAGUCUUGACAUUAACUUUCAGAGUGAAUCUGGUAAACAUGACGUGUAUUUCGCUAGAACUGCUCCUUCUGCUUUGUUGCCAGUUGCCGUUGUGUCCAAUACGCAGAAUAAUAGAUCACCAAAAUCUCUAAAAGAUGAAUUAGAAGAGGCUUUUAAACAAAAGAAGGACAAUACUAUUCCCAGAAUCAAACCACCUGAGUCACUUCUGAGUAAGAAACUGCUUGAGCCUAAAUCCCCACAAGGGAGUUCUGCAUCUGACCCAGGUAACUUCGUCAGAAAGGGUUUAUUUGGAGCGCAGUUCUUUUUCAAAUCUCAACAAUCUGAGGGAAAUGAGCGACUGCAGACAUUAAUAUCAAAAUACCGCAGCCACAGCCAGCUGCCUGCUACACCGGAGAAGAAACCAAACUCACACACGUUUACAUCUGGGAGGCUGGGACUUGGUUCCAAAAGUCGAGCGUUUGGUUUGACUGUUCCCAAAACCCCCGACGGUAAAGUGUACUCUUCUGAAAGUGAUACGGGACUAAGCUCACCUCGAACUGGACACAAAGGUCCUCCUCCCCCUCCGCCUCCAAAGCCAAAAGUGAAGUUUAAUUCUAGUACUGGUACUCUGUCAAGACUGAAAGACGUGACAGAUUCGCCGUCUGCCAAUUCAUCUCAGGACCAUACACAAGCGUCUGCUGUUGAUUCUCUGAUGGAUUCCCAGGAACAGCGAGACAUCAAUGCACUUAUACAAAAGUUUGCCGAAGUUGGAUCAUUACAAUGAUGAUGCCUGUUGAAAGUGCUGAGUAUUGUUCAUGAAUGUGUUUGGCCACGCCUUCCGACUAAAUCUCUUCUUUCCGUCCAUCCGCCAAAAAUUACAAGUACCUCAAAGUACUUGAGAUGUAAACGAGGUCUACACAAAUAACCACUCAGGAUCGGAGAUGAUUAAGGUCAUAAUGAACUCUUCCACAUCAAUGCUGGCUGUUUUACACUAGCCAAGAAUGGACUCUUCCACACAUCAGUUCAGGCAGUGAUUAUGCUACUCAUAUGCAAAACAUUUAAGUUUAAACUAAACCAGUACUACAAUGUACAUUUUUUAAGCAAUCUGUUAUAUGGUGUACGUAGUAUUCAAUCAAGCGUGUGUGUAGGAAAGUUGUGAAGAAUGGUGCCUAUAGACUGUGGAAAGUGAAGUUUCUAGGAGUAGUCAGGCUGUGCUCCCCCAGAAAACAUAUUUAUAAAAAAUAUUUAAUACCCUUGUACAUGUACCUGUCAAGUAAAGUAUCUUGUUCUGAUUGUGAAAAAUGAGUCACUGCUUACAUUUGCAACCAAAUUUUCAUUUUAUACAUAAAAAAAACUGUGCUUUAAUUCAUUAAAAAAGACCUAGCAUUUAUUUUAUUUUAUUCAAAGCUUGAAAAUAUACAUAUUUAGUGUCAUGCCUGUUUUGUUAUCAGAAAUGCAUAGAGUUUCUUGAAGUUAUAGACAAGAUAUUACAAAAUUCUCAACUGUGCCAAAAACUGUUUUGGAGUUCAGUAAAUAAUUUUGUGAUAUUAGAAAGCAAAUAGUAUUAAAUAAAGCUAGUGUUUUCCCUAGCUUGUUUUAGCAUGUACAACACCAUGCCUCAAUAGUCUAGCGCCAUCUUGCCUCAAUCAGUGCC
rnacentral:misc_RNA from 1 species